rnacentral:rRNA from 1 species
UAGGGAAUCUUCCACAAUGGACGAAAGUCUGAUGGAGCAACGCCGCGUGAGUGAUGAAGGUUUUCGGAUCGUAAAACUCUGUUGUAAGGGAAGAACACGUACGAGAGGGAAUGCUCGUACCUUGACGGUACCUUACGAGAAAGCCACGGCUAACUACGUGCCAGCAGCCGCGGUAAUACGUAGGUGGCAAGCGUUGUCCGGAAUUAUUGGGCGUAAAGCGCGCGCAGGCGGCCUUUUAAGUCUGAUGUGAAAGCCCCCGGCUCAACCGGGGAGGGCCAUUGGAAACUGGAAGGCUUGAGUACAGAAGAGAAGAGUGGAAUUCCACGUGUAGCGGUGAAAUGCGUAGAGAUGUGGAGGAACACCAGUGGCGAAGGCGACUCUUUGGUCUGUAACUGACGCUGAGGCGCGGAAGCGUGGGGAGCAAACAG